rnacentral:rRNA from 1 species
UACGAAGGGUGCUAGCGUUAAUCGGAAUUACUGGGCGUAAAGGGUGCGUAGGCGGUUCGUUAAGUCUGUCGUGAAAUCCCCGGGCUCAACCUGGGAAUGGCGAUGGAUACUGGCGAGCUAGAGUGUGUCAGAGGAUGGUGGAAUUCCCGGUGUAGCGGUGAAAUGCGUAGAGAUCGGGAGGAACAUCAGUGGCGAAGGCGGCCAUCUGGGACAACACUGACGCUGAAGCACGAAAGCGUGGGGAGCAAACAGG